rnacentral:misc_RNA from 1 species
GAUGAAGAACGUAGCAAAAUGCGAUACUUGGUGUGAAUUGCAGAAUCCCGUGAACCAUCGAGUUUUUGAACGCAAGUUGCGCCCGAAGCCUUUUGGCCGAGGGCACGUCUGCCUGGGCGUCACGCAUCGCGUCGCCCCCCACAAUUCUCCGUAAAGGGAACAUGUGUUUUGGGGGCGGAUAUUGGUCUCCCGUGCUCAUGGCGUGGUUGGCCGAAAUAGUAGUCCUUUCGAUGGACGCACGAACUAGUGGUGGUCGUAAAAACCCUCGUCUUUUGUUUCGUGCUGUUGCUCGCAAGGUAAACUCUUUAAAAACCCCAAUGUGUCGUCUCUUGACGACGCUUCGACCGCGACCCCAGGUCAGGCGGGACUACCCGCUGAGUUUAAGCAUAUCAAUAAGCGGAGGA